AGCCAUAAAGCGAAAGAAGGGACUGGGGGGAGUACUCUGCUACAGAAUUAUUGGACUGUCCGUCACUUCCGGCCUUCAAAUCUGCCGUCGACUCUCGCCGGCGACCUAUUUGCCGGCCAUUCUCAGCCGUUGAUUUUAUUUUCCUUUAAGAACGACGACAAAACCGCACCACUCACUCAGCUCCAUUUCUUCAACCCUUUAUAGCCCCCGAUUUCCCUUCAGAUUCUUCCUUCCCCUUACGCAGCCAUCUGUUUUAGUCCGCAACUUUCCGCGAUUCCUCAAACUCUCUUCCGAACUUAUAAUUGAUGGCAAUGGCGAUGCUUCCCAUUUUUCACAUAUUUCUCAAUCAUUUUCAUUCAGAUGUGAAGGGGGUCUCUCUCUCUUUCAUCCUUUCUUUUUCGUAUUUCUUGUUUUAGAUCUGCUCAAACUUUUUGAAAUUUUUUAUUUCGUUUGUUGAUGAUUUGGGUGUUUUUGAUUUCCCCUGUUAUUUGUUGUGUUUCUUUGAUUCAAUGGGAGGUAGAGUCAGUGGAGGCAGCGGUUCAUCGACCUCUUCUUGGGAUUUGUACUGAUUUGUAUCACAAAAACACGAACCGGUCGAUAAACCUCUGCAUCCAGCGCUCCCACCCUUGUUGGUUGUUCGUUUAUAAUUUUAGGACAACUGGGAACAGUGAACCUCUUUUGCAGUUCGUUUCUUUGACCAUCUGGGACCCCUUUGUGUUUCUGUCUGCAUCUUGAUUAGGGGGGCAAAGGCACAACAAAAUUUUCUUACCAUUUUGCUUUUUUCUGCUUCGUUGUGGAAGAUGAGAGUUUCUCUGGGAGAAAAAAUUGAAGAUGAUUUUGUAUUGUAGUGUAGUUUUGAUUGAAACUGUUCUUAUUCAUAUUCUCUUGUAGUUAUGGGAUUGUUUGGUUUGGUUGCAGCUCUAAAUCUUUCCCCCAACCAGAGGAUAUUAUCCGGUUACUACUUAUGGGAUAGGAUCAUAAAUUCUGAGCUCCUACGGAUUUAGUGGAAUGCUAUAUUCAAACUAUCUAGAUGAUAUUACCAACUCUGAUCAUGUCUUUUCCUUUCCAUUUGGACUUGUAUGAGAUUAUGGUGCAAGAAUUCUAACAUGGUUGUGGGAAUUGUUCUAUAAUUGAUGUUUCAUAGAUCUGAGCAUAAAAGGUCUUGAUGUGACAAAUCCCUUGAUUGGUUAAUUGUUUCCACUGAUUAUGGAUUUGGAAACUCCUCUGCCAGAUUCCUAUGAAUUUGAUGCUUUCCCACUUCUUAUAUAUCAGAUCCCAUAUUAGUUGAAGAGUGGAACGGAAAGAAGGGUGUAAAAAGACGUUUUAAAACUAUGAUGAUGACGAAGAUAUGUAACAGGCCAAAGCGGACAAUAUCUGUUAGUGGUGAGCUUGGGCGGUGUGCCAGUGAUGACACUAGCCCUCAAGGGGGAGGAUUGUGAGAUCUCACGUUGGCUCUUAAGGGGGUGGAUUUGUGAGAUCCCACGCCGACUCUCAAGGGGAGUGGGUUGUGAGAUCCCACAUCGGUUGGAGAGGAGAACGAAUUAUUCCUUAUACAAGGGUGUGAAAACCUUAGACUGCUUUAAAAUUGUGAAGUUGACAAAGGACGAAAGCGGAUGUUGGACUUGUAUUGAACUUGUAUUGAGAUAAGCCAACAUCAGAGCAUGUGUUGCUUGUUGUGGUUGUCAUUUUUGUAACCUUUUAUGGUGUCAUUUGAAGAAGCCAUGUCUUUUUCUUCAUAGGUGGUAUAGUUCUUCUGCUCAUUGGUGCAGUUCAGCUUAGGAAAAAGGGACCAACUUUACUGAAAGAAUCUAAGGGAUGGCAUGCAAUACCAGUUCAACCUUCAUUGCCGUGUUGAAAUCAACAGUUCUGAAGUGCCAAGCUGCCAAGGCAGGCCCAGUGGAUGAGGUAUCAGAUUCCUUUUUUU